rnacentral:rRNA from 1 species
GAGUUUGAUCUUGGCUCAGAUUGAACGCUGGCGGCAUGCCUUACACAUGCAAGUCGAACGGCAGCAUGAUCUAGCUUGCUAGAUUGAUGGCGAGUGGCGAACGGGUGAGUAAUACAUCGGAACGUGCCCUGUAGUGGGGGAUAACUAGUCGAAAGAUUAGCUAAUACCGCAUACGACCUGAGGGUGAAAGUGGGGGACCGCAAGGCCUCAUGCUAUAGGGAGCGGCCGAUGUCUGAUUAGCUAGUUGGUGGGUAAAGGCCCACCAAGGCGACGAUCAGUAGCUGGUCUGAGAGGACGAUCAGCCACACUGGGACUGAGACACGGCCCAGACUCCUACGGGAGGCAGCAGUGGGGAAUUUUGGACAAUGGGCGGAAGCCUGAUCCAGCAAUGCCGCGUGUGUG